rnacentral:rRNA from 1 species
UACGUAGGGUGCGAGCGUUGUCCGGAAUUAUUGGGCGUAAAGAGCUCGUAGGCGGCCUGUUGCGUCUGCUGUGAAAGCCCGGGGCUCAACCCCGGGUCUGCAGUGGAUACGGGCAGGCUAGAGUCCGGCAGGGGAGACUGGAAUUCCUGGUGUAGCGGUGAAAUGCGCAGAUAUCAGGAGGAACACCGGUGGCGAAGGCGGGUCUCUGGGCCGGUACUGACGCUGAGGAGCGAAAGCGUGGGGAGCGAACAGG